CUUUUUGAUUUUUAGGAUAAGUUGUAACAGUGACAUAAUGCUAGAAUGUUGUUAUAAUGUAGGCUUUAGAAACAGAUAGUAAAUAGAUUUAUUUCUAGGGUAGAGGAGAGUUUUUAUGAGGAUGUUAAAAGUCUCGCUGACUCAAAUGAAUAAUAUUGGAGAUUAUAUAUGUAGAAAUGAUUUUUUCAUACACAUUGCAUUUUGUUGUGGCUCAGAGAGUCGUCUCUUGAGGGUCACAAACUUUUGGUUAGCGUUAUGAUUAGCCAAUCUACUGUGAGAAUGACCUGAGUUAUUGAAGGAUUGCACACGCUUACAGACAUAUAGAGUUCAUCAACACACAGGACAGUAUU
ensembl:lncRNA